AUUGGCUAGUAACAGCCCGACGCACUGCAACGUCAUUGUGCAUGGUCCAAUCAGCGGAGUGCUUAUCAACAGGAAGCGUUGAGGCUCGGAAUGAAAAAAUGAUGCAAAUGGUCGCUAGAGGUCGCGCUGUUUUUAUUUUAAAUAGAUUUUGGUUUUUUUAACUCUAUCGAGAUCCGUAGAAAUUUUAAGAGGGACAAACGUGGGCGGAGCUAAGGGGUAGCCAGGGGGUGGCCAGUGACCAAAUACGAAACCAGCCAUAUUAGAGCAAGGGGGCAUCAUUCCUUGACUGUUGUGCCUUUUCUGUCCCUGAAGAAAACAAUCUCAUUAGAUGUAAAGAGUUGUUUUAGACCUCCAUCCAUGCAUUUCCAUAAAGGUUAUCCUACACAAGACAGGGUGCCAACCCAUCGCAGGGCACAAUCACACGCCAUGGACAAUUUGGAAAUGCCAAUCUGCCUACAUCACGUCUUUGGACUGGAGGAGGAACUCGGAGUACCUGGAGGAAACUUCCAAAGCACGGGGAGAACAUGCAAACUCUACGCACACAGGCCAGAGGCAGGAUUCAAACCCCCAACCCUGGAGGUGCGAGGCAAAUGUACUAACCACUAAGCCACGUUGCCCCAGUUUUAGACUUUAAAUUAUUUGAAUUCUAUGUUAUAUAAAAAGAAAUAUACUCACUCUCACUCCCUCACUGUCAGUAACCAUUUUAUCCUGGUCAGGGUCACAGUGGAUCCGGAGCCUGUCCCAGGAACACUGGUUGCGAGCUAGGAAUACACCCUUGAUCAGACACAAGUCCAUUGCAGGGCAUCAGGCACACACAUUCAGACACUCAUGAACACCUAUGGGCCAUUUAUCUUAUCCAAUCCACCUGUUUGCAUGUUUUUGGCAAGUGGGAGGAAAGUAGAGAACCCAGAAGAAACCCAUGAGGACACAGGGAGAACAUGCAUGUAAACUCGACACAAAGAUUAACCCGAGCUACUUGCCACUUUCUUUACUGAAACUAUAAACAAUAUUUAGAGCUAAUCCUACUUACUAUUUCUUUGAUAAAUUUAAAAUUUCCAUGAAUAAAAAUAAACAUUCAUGGAAAAUUUAAAUUUAUCAUAUUGUCAUGUUAUUUCAUGUUUUUAUUUUUUUUUUUUGUACCCAGUAGUAAUUUCUACCCUGUAAGUAUGCACUUAUACACAUUUCACCCUGUUAGGCAGAAUUACACAGUCAAUCUAUUUCAUGUAAUACAUAUUUUAAAUAUGUGGCAUAUAGCUAUUUAAUUAAAAGCUCAAGGUCAAAUAUUAUUUUACAACAAUAACUAUCUGUGCCGAUACCAGAUCAAAAUCUGCCUUUGUAUUUUCACACUGCGAGUCCUGUACUUCCUAACAGAGUGGAAAUACAGCCUAUAAAUGUAAAAGUUCCUCUCACAUCAAUAAUUUAUUUUGAAGAAAAGGAUAUAUGUAUCUAGUAUGUUUGUAUAAUGUAUGGUAUACAUUUAGGUACAGUGAUUGCACCACAAGGGCUUUAAUCAUUUAAAAAUGUCCAAAAGGCACUGUAUAUAAUGAAAAAAAAACAGACACAGACAUUUGUAUUUUUUUUUUAUUAAUUUAUCUGUUUUUCUUAAAGUAUAAUAAACAAAAACAACACUAUAGCUUAUUGAAAACUACAUAUACAGUCAUAUAACAUUCUUACACAGUGCUUAAAACUGCUACGAUCCUCUUUGGUUACAGAGAUAGAGCACAGAAGUGAAGAAGUG